rnacentral:rRNA from 1 species
UACAGAGGAGCCAAGCGUUGUCCGGAUUGACUGGGCGUAAAGCGCACGCAGGCGGACGCGCGCGUGGGGUGUGAAAUCUGGCCGCUUAACGGCCAGGCGCCAUCCCAUACGGCGCGUCUGGAGUGAUGCAGAGGUCGGUGGAAUUGCCGGUGUAGUGGUGAAAUGCGUAGAGAUCGGCAGGAACACCCAGGGGGAAACCAGCCGAC